UCCCUCUUUUUCUUCCAUUUUAAUUCCCCUUUAUUUCACUUUUCCCACUUUUUAUUUCCCUUUUAUUUCCCUUUUAUUUCCCUUUUCUCUUUUCCUUCCCCGUUUUUCUGCUUUUCCCCAAUUUUCCAUUUUCCCCAAUUUUCCAUUUUUCCUUUUCUUCCCCCCUUUCCUCCCUUUAUUUCAUUUCUAUUUAGAAUUAAUUAACAAUUCAUUAACCACUAAUUACCCAUUAAUAACACAAUUAUUCAUCAUUACCUACCCAGUUAUUAGCUGCUAAUUAGUCAUUAUUAAUUAAUCAUUAUUAUUAAUCAUUAACUACCCCUUCAUUAGCCAUUAAUUACCCAUUCAUUUCGCUGGUAAAUGCUCACUAAUUACCAACUAAUUACCCACUCUGUAGCCAUUAAUUAGCGAUUUAUUAGACAUUAAUUUCCCAUUCAUUAAUCAUUCAGGACCCAUUAAUUGCCCAUUAUUAACCCAUUAAUUUACCCAGUAAUCACCCCUAAUUUAUCCAUUAUUAACUCAUUAAUUACCCAUUGAUAACCCAAUGUUAACCCCUUAAUUAAUUAAUUAAUUAAUUAAGUGAUUAAUUGAGUUAAUUAACUCAUAAUUUAUUCAAUCGUUACCUAAUAAUUACCCAUUAAUAACCAAUGAACGACCAAUUAUUUGCCCCUAAUUAAUUUCCCAUUCAUCACUCAUUCAUUACCCACAAUGUCCGCAUUAAUUACCCAACAUUUAUCAAUUAAUCACCCAUAAUGUGUCAUUUAAUUACCCAUUAAUUACCCAUUAAUCUCCUAUUAUCUGCCCAUUAAUUUCCCACUAAUUUGCCUUUAAUUUCCCAUUAAUUACCUUUAAUUUCCCAUUAAUUUGCCUUUAAUUUCCCUUUAAUUUCCCAUUAAUUUGCCUUUUUAAUUUGCCUUUAAUUUCCCAUUAAUUACAUUUAAUUUCCCAUUAAUUACCCAUUAAUUUCCCAUUAAUUUGCCAUUAAUUUCCCAUUAAUUUGCCUUUAAUUUCCCAUUAAUUACCAGGGGACCGCCGGAUUCUGGCUGAGGAGCGUGAGUGCAUUAACGAAUUCAUUUCAUAAUUAUUCAUUAAUUUUUCACGACUUUAAUUAAAUUAAAUUUGAAUUUUAAAUUUAUUUCAAUCAAAAAGAAGCGAAAACGAAAGACUGCAUGGAACGGAAAAGUAAAUUAAGUGAAAUUAAUGAGAUUGAAUGAUAUGAAAUAAAUGAAAUUAAAUUUAAAGAAAUGGAAUAAAA
rnacentral:lncRNA from 1 species